CCUGGUGGCUCAGAAGGUAAAGCGUCUGCCUGAAAUGCAGGAGACCUGGGUUCAAUCCCUGGGUCAGGA
rnacentral:tRNA from 1 species